rnacentral:rRNA from 1 species
GUGGGGAAUAUUGGACAAUGGGCGCAAGCCUGAUCCAGCCAUGCCGCGUGUGUGAAGAAGGCCUUUUGGUUGUAAAGCACUUUAAGCGAGGAGGAGGCUCCUUUAGUUAAUACCUAAAGAGAGUGGACGUUACUCGCAGAAUAAGCACCGGCUAACUCUGUGCCAGCAGCCGCGGUAAUACAGAGGGUGCAAGCGUUAAUCGGAUUUACUGGGCGUAAAGCGCGCGUAGGUGGCCAAUUAAGUCAAAUGUGAAAUCCCCGAGCUUAACUUGGGAAUUGCAUUCGAUACUGGUUGGCUAGAGUAUGGGAGAGGAUGGUAGAAUUCCAGGUGUAGCGGUGAAAUGCGUAGAGAUCUGGAGGAAUACCGAUGGCGAAGGCAGCCAUCUGGCCUAAUACUGACACUGAGGUGCGAAAGCAUGGGGAGCAAACAGGAUUAGAUACCCGGGUAGUCC